rnacentral:tRNA from 1 species
AAGGCCUUAAGUUAAAUUAAACUAAUAACCUUCAAAGCUAUAAAUAAAGGACGCCCUUUAGGCCUUG